UACGAAGGGUGCAAGCGUUACUCGGAAUUACUGGGCGUAAAGAGUGCGUAGGUGGUUGUUUAAGUCUGUUGUGAAAGCCCUGGGCUCAACCUGGGAAUUGCAGUGGAUACUGGGCGACUAGAGUGUGGUAGAGGGUAGUGGAAUUCCCGGUGUAGCAGUGAAAUGCGUAGAGAUCGGGAGGAACAUCCAUGGCGAAGGCAGCUACCUGGACCAACACUGACACUGAGGCACGAAAGCGUGGGGACCAAACAGG
rnacentral:rRNA from 1 species